rnacentral:lncRNA from 1 species
GUUGUAGGCUCAAAUAAGAGGACAUGGGGAGCCAGUAGGUGGUUGGGAGAGUGGCUGGGGGGCAGGUUAGCCACAAAAGAUGCAGGAGAUGAGGAGGGGUGAUGGUGCUGCAGGAUGGCACACUGGGAGAACACAGUGUAUUCUGCAAAAGCAGAGGUGACAAGAAUAAGGGUAAGUGCACAGAGCUGGCCAUGAUUGCAGAUGCAAAGCAGGAAAGAGCAGUGUGGUCUUGAGGUGUUUGUGCAUAAUUAGAACAAGGAAGAAUUGUUUUAAUUAGUAUGGGUGAUAAGUUGUGAGUAGAAAGUGGCAGUGAUAGGUGUAUGGAUAAUAGGAGAUGUGACACACAUAACCUUAACCUCAUCCAUCUUGUCUCUAUUCUGCAACAUGUUUCUAUAGGCAGUGCUUUCAGGCUGAAGUCAGGGAACGAAGGCUGCGUGCUGUGCUGAACUGUGAUGACUCCAUCCUUGGUCCCAGUGAGGGACAGCAGGGAAUAAUGUUACCCAAGCGUUGGAUAGCACAUUUAACAAUGUGGAGGGCUUCGUUGCACCGGCUGUGUGGAAGGGAGCUCAGAAUCCAGGAACCACCAGUGCAGUUCAGUGGUUUUGUAGCUGGAGAUGAAACUGGAGUGGGAGUGAGGACACUGCAGAAGGAAACAUUCUGUAGAACUGCCAAAAUGUUCGACCUCAGCUUAGAAGGGCUGCAGGGAUGGUGGCAGUCAGCUGAGGACCUGUGAUGCUCAUCGUUGGACUGAAGUUCUCAGAAUUUCCUCUGUAACGAUGGCUUCAAUUCAUCUGUUCCUAUGAGGCAGUUCUGGUUGGGCUUGGCAUGCUCUGUCCCAGCUGUCAGGUCUGGGAUGUAUCCC